UCGCUUAUAAAAUGAUAAACGAAAAACCUUUCAAUUUCACGAGAUGAAGAUUAAUUGAUUAGAAGGAACGAGCUGAUAUGACGUCAUGAAAAGACCAUUAUGACGUCACGGUCUCAAGCACUUUACGUCAGUUUGUAACUUCUUCGACACAGGAAAAGAAAACGCUAACUCAUAUGCAAUUGAAAAUCAUGUCAGACGAACAGUAAUUAGGAGUUGGAUUGGUUUACAUUCUUAAAUUUAACGUUGAAUGGUUGUAAUUAAGCAACUUCAGAAGUGUGUUACAGUGUGUCAUUCAAAAUUACAGAAGAAAUAUAUAUCGAAUUGAAAUUAAUUAACUGCGUGAGUCAUAGUUCAGCUGCAUACGUAUCAGUCUUUUAUUGAUACUUGACUCUACAGACGUGUCAAGAUAAUGGCUUUCUUUGGGAAUUUGAUUAAGUCCUUCCUGAGCACUGAGGGGCCAUCAGGAAAUACUGUUGUUGAAGUUUCAGUAUCUCAGUUUUCCAGGAUACCGGUUAUUGCAAGAGAAGAUUGUCUGGCUUUAUAUGGCCCAACACCUAACAAAAUGUAUGAGCUAUUAUUAAACAAGACUGUUGAUGAUUCUCUGUCCUCAGCAUUCAGCCUUUUUAGAUUAACUGAUAUCAGUGAAGCCCAGAUUCGGUUCAUUUCUCUAAGAGAAGUGUUGCCACCUCUUGUGGAGCAUAUGCCACACUAUGUUGUUAAUAAGCAAGGGCUUCAAACAGUUUGCGACUUAACAAGGGAUCACCCAACCUGGAGCCCAGCUCACAUAGCAGCCUAUUUAGGUUAUGCUAAAGUUUUCAGGAAUUCUAGUAUUGCCAAUUGUGCAGAUACAGCAGACAUAGCAUUGAAGGAAACCCCUCUUCACAUAGCUAUAAAGGAGGGACAUAUUGAUGUCAUUCGUAUCCUCCUUGAGAAGGGUGUUAGUGUUGAUGUCACUGACGUGAAGGGAAACUCUGUGUAUCAUUUGGCUGCAGCUACUAAUGAAAUGAUAAUACAGUUGGUGACACAGAGAGAGUCUCGUCUGAUGAAUUUUCCAAAUGCAGCUGGGAAGACACCCCUUCAUGUAGCCUGUGAGGCAGACAAACCAGAAUGUGUGAAAGCUCUUCUCUGUGCUGGUGCAGAUGUCAAUGUUGCUGCAACUCAUGACUCUACUUUGCCUAUACACACAGCUAUGGCUGCCAACAGUACCUUAUGUGCCAAAGAAAUUAUCAAGAUGUAUCCAAAUCAGCUGAAUGUGAAGGACAUGAAACAUGGAGGAACACCACUGCACUGGGCAACAUCAAGAGAAAUUAUUUCUGCUAUGGCAGACCUGGGAUGUAGCAUCAAUGCACGAAACUUCCAUGGCCACACAGCUUUACAUAAGAUGGUGGAGCAUAAUCGGCUGUCAUGUGUAAUAACUCUUCUGAGUCUUGGAGCGGACGUGAAUGCUGUUGACAAUGACGGGAAUUCUGCACUUCACUUUGCCAAUUCACCAGCAGUCCUUCAGGCUCUUUUGGUGUUUGGUGGCAACACAACUUUUAUCAACAAGAAGAAUGUAUCAGUACGUCACAUUGUUGCCAGUAGCACCUAUAGGGAAAAGGCAACCAUGCUAUACAUCUUGCAUGCUAUAGGAGCCUCACGGUGUAAAACACGUUUUCCUGAUUGCAAUGAUGGUUGCUCUCCUGAAGGAUCAUAUGAUGGAGUUCCUAUGAACACCCAUUUGUUUUGUCGAAGCCGAAUAUGUUACGAUGAAUUACUUGAUUCUUCAAUUCUUGGUAAAACCUUGAGGGACCUGCAGUCAGAAGCUCCUCUUGGAUUUGAACGCUUGUCCAAAGGGGGACGGAUACUGUGUCUGGAUGGUGGAGGUAUCAAAGGUCUUGUCCUUAUUCAGCUUUUACUUGCUAUAGAAGAAGCAACAGGCAGGCCUGUUUUACAGUUGUUUGAUUGGAUAGCAGGAACAAGUACAGGAGGAAUUCUUGCUCUUGCAUUAGCUUUAGGCAAAAGUGUGCGCUACACCCAGAGGCUAUAUUUUCGUAUGAAGGACCUUGUGUUUGUUGGCAUGCGACCCUAUGAUGAAAAGCCAUUGGAGAAGAUAUUGAAGGAGGAGCUGGGUGAAGAAACAUUAAUGUCUGAUAUAAAGGAACCAAAGAUUAUUGUGACUGGAGUUUUAGCAGACCGUUUCCCAGCUGAUCUUCACCUGUUCCGCAACUACACAGCAGGGGAGCAGUUGUUGCAGGCACAGGGAGGAAAUGCAUUUACUCCAACUCAUCCACCAGAGCAGCAACUUGUGUGGCGUGCAGCUAGAGCCUCAGGAGCUGCUCCUUCUUAUUUCAGGGCAUAUGGAAGGUUUAUUGAUGGUGGUCUCAUAUCAAACAACCCUACACUAGAUGUUCUAACAGAAAUAGCAGAGUACAACACUUCGUUAAGUACUAUUGGAAAAGCAAGAGAUAUUGUUAAGCCAUCAGUUGUUGUAUCUCUUGGAACUGGAAAACCCCCAGUACAGAAAGUUGACGCUAUAGAUUGCUUCAAGCCAGAGAGUAUGUGGAGUACAGUGAGGAUGGCCUUUGGACUGUCUAAUGUGGCAAAGCUUCUUGUUGACCAAGCAACAAUGGCAGAUAAUCGGACUGUGGAUCGUGCACGAGCAUGGUGUGGCAUGUGUGGGAUACCUUAUUUACGGCUGUCCCCACAGUUGUCUCUGGACGUGCAACUUGAUGAGACGAGAGAUGAAGUACUGGUCAACACGCUGUGGGAAACCAUGGUGUACAUACGUUCAAAAAAAGUACAAAUACAUCAGAUUGCAGCUCUGCUCACUGUUGGUGUACCUUCUCCUGCUGAGUAAGUAAUCAAGUCUGAAGGAUAUAGAACAGCUGGAAGGUUUUAGAGAGGGAAACUUUACUUGAAAAUGUAAUCAUUAGAUAAUUACUAUAUUUACUAUAGGUGUGUGGUCUGGAAAGGGAUAAAUCAAUAGCAAGUUAUUUGUAAAUCUGUAUAGUUAUUUGUUUAUUACUUUUAAUCCAUUGUGUACAUUGAUUAAAAUCUACCAAAGAAUAAUGGACUUUCUAGAGAAUAUAAAAUAGAAAAACAAACAUUUUCAUUUAAGCUAAUAGUGUGGAAGACACAAUAGCAUAAAAGAUAUAGUUGAAAGUAAAACAAAUUUUAAAUAGGGGACAAAAAAUCAGAGUAAUUAGUUGAAUGAUGCUGGGCUUCAAUUUUCUUGCUGGCUUUUUCUUGUGCCUCCAAAAACUGCUUGCCUUGCAUCAGGCCAGUUACACAACCGUUUACCCUAAUUUAUUACUUUAUUUGUUUUGCAUUUGCUUGUUGUCUAUGAUUUUGUGUCUUCUUAUUUUAGCACCAUUCUAGCACCAGAAUCCAUUUUCUUUAUGUAUUAAGUUUAUGGACCAGACAUUUUAGAAAAGAUUGUAAUUUUGAAUUGUGUGUUUAUAAUGGUUAUUUUGGAGUUAUGUAUAGAGGAAAAUCUGAUUUUCUUAAUUUUCUGGAAUUUGUUCUGAAUAAUGAACCAACCUUUUUAUAUACAUUCUACAUAAAUGUAUAUGAGCCUUGAUUUAGAAUACAUGUACACAUGCAUCCUAAGGUCAGAGGGUUAAUUCACUAAUCAUUCCAUAAUCAGAGUUAAACCUUAACUAAGCAGAAUCAUUAUUGUAGAAGAAGAUAUAGAAGAAGUACUAGAAAUACAAAUUCAGAAGUGACAGGAAAACAGUAUGUGAUUUUAUAAAGAGAACUGGAAAAAAAUUUGGGUAAACUAAACCUAGUAGAAAAUAAACUGUCUAGUCAAGCAUUGCCGGUAUGUAGAUUGUAAUUUACAAAUUACAUAAACUGAAACUGUCCAAUAUAAAGAGUAGCAUUUAAAGAUUCAGCAUAAGAGUGGAAUGAAGUUUUGGGUGCUAGUUAUGAAGACUUUCCUUUGGCCCAACAACAACAACAAAAAACAAUUGUGCGAAAUGAAAAGAGACAAUGACAUGGCUGAAAUAUGUUUAAGUGUGGAUAAGUUUCAAAACACCAUUAUUUAGCAGAUAAGAAUUCUAAGACUCUUGUGCAUUAAAUUUGUAAAUCUAAUGUUUCUAUACAUGUUCAAGAAAAUUUUUAUUUCUCAUUUUAGUAAGAAUGGAAAAUCAAGUUCUGUACAAAAAAAAAAAAAAAAAAAUAA
rnacentral:misc_RNA from 1 species